rnacentral:rRNA from 1 species
CGGUGGAUGCCCUGGCAGUCAGAGGCGAUGAAGGGCGUGCUAAUCUGCGAUAAGCGCCGGUAAGGUGAUAUGAACCGUUAUAACCGGCGAUACCCGAAUGGGGAAACCCAGUGUGACUCGUCACACUAUCAUUAACUGAAUCCAUAGGUUAAUGAGGCGAACCGGGGGAACUGAAACAUCUAAGUACCCCGAGGAAAAGAAAUCAACCGAGAUUCCCCCAGUAGCGGCGAGCGAACGGGGAGGAGCCCAGAGCCUGAAUCAGCAUGUGUGUUAGUGGAAGCGUCUGGAAAGGCGCGCGAUACAGGGUGACAGCCCCGUACACAAAAGCGCAUGUGCUGUGAGCUCGAUGAGUAGGGCGGGACACGUGGUAUCCUGUCUGAAUAUGGGGGGACCAUCCUCCAAGGCUAAAUACUCCUGACUGACCGAUAGUGAACCAGUACCGUGAGGGAAAGGCGAAAAGAACCCCGGCGAGGGGAGUGAAAAAGAACCUGAAACCGUGUACGUACAAGCAGUGGGAGCCCCACCACCAAAGCAUUUGCUGUACCGCGUUGACGGAGCGAAGCGACGUCAAACCGAUAAAACAGCAGUGUAAAGUGAGCCGCAGGGCGCUUUGCGCGACAGCGCAAAGGCAGGCGGUUUCGCGUAGCGAAAGCGAAUGCUUUGGGGUGGGGUGACUGCGUACCUUUUGUAUAAUGGGUCAGCGACUUAUAUUCUGUAGCAAGGUUAACCGAAUAGGGGAGCCGGAGGGAAACCGAGUCUUAAUUGGGCGUUAAGUUGCAGGGUAUAGACCCGAAACCCGGUGAUCUAGCCAUGGGCAGGUUGAAGGUUGGGUAACACUAACUGGAGGACCGAACCGACUAAUGUUGAAAAAUUAGCGGAUGACCUGUGGCUGGGGGUGAAAGGCCAAUCAAACCGGGAGAUAGCUGGUUCUCCCCGAAAGCUAUUUAGGUAGCGCCUCGUGAAUUCAUCUCCGGGGGUAGAGCACUGUUUCGGCUAGGGGGCCAUCCCGGCUUACCAACCCGAUGCAAACUGCGAAUACCGGAGAAUGUUAUCACGGGAGACACACGGCGGGUGCUAACGUCCGUCGUGAAGAGGGAAACAACCCAGACCGCCAGCUAAGGUCCCAAAGUCAUGGUUAAGUGGGAAACGAUGUGGGAAGGCCCAGACAGCCAGGAUGUUGGCUUAGAAGCAGCCAUCAUUUAAAGAAAGCGUAAUAGCUCACUGGUCGAGUCGGCCUGCGCGGAAGAUGUAACGGGGCUAAACCAUGCACCGAAGCUGCGGCAGCGACACUGUGUGUUGUUGGGUA